ACAGGAGUAGCCUAUAGUCUACAAUGUGUUUAUUUUUCUUUACCAUAUAUGUGUCUUUAUAUUACAAAAUAUUGUUAAAUAGGAAUAAAUAAUUUAAGCAGUUUUUGGAUUAAAAUUGCUUGCUACUGUACGUUACUUAUUUACUUACAUCAGACUGCCUAGUCAGCUAGCUAGCUAACCAGACAGUUUGUUUUAGCUAACGUUAGCUAGCUAGCUAACCAGACAGUUUGUUUUAGCUAACGUUAGCUAAUUAGCUAACCAGACAGUUUGUUUUAGCUAACGUUAGCUAGCUAGCUAACUGUUUUUGUAGCUUUCUGUUUGUACGUAGCUUGCACUUCAAUGGCAUCCCUCGAGGAGAUGCUAUUUUUUCUUUCCAACCAGGCGAAAUACUAUGAAGGCACCACUGAUCUCGACAACAGGAGCAACAUUCGUACGGGACAGAAAUUCACUAUUCAGGGCAAUCACAUGUACCUACUGGGUAAGGAUGGCCAGCCUCACAGAGGGGUGAUUUUUAACUGAGGAGAAGGAGGCCAUGCUGACCGAGAUGCAAGCUGGCCAUUUCAGAGUGAAGCGCAUGAUUGUCAAAAAUCAACAUAACUCUUCUUUUGGCAUUUGGCAUGGGAUUGUCAAGAAUGUGAACAGCUGGGCAAGUGAAAUAACCUUAUGUUUAUCAAUCACAUUCUAUUAUAUCUGAAAUUAUUACGAUUUCAUAUCAGAGAGAACAUAAUAUUUACAUUUGUCACCUUGUGCUUAAAAGUCAGUACCCUGUCUAGCCUGAAAGAAGUUUGAGAGGGUGAAGAGUUGAAGCCCAUCAGUUGUUUCACCACGGCACAUGAUCGAUCACUGAAACUCCACCUGAUGUGAUGGAAGUUGUUGAACCAGAUCAGAACGCCUUCGAGGGCAACCUUCAGCCACAGGAUGAGAAGGAUGUGGAGGUGAGAUUGAACAAGGACAAGGUGCUGGAGAAACAGAAGGAGAGCUACCAGAGGAGAAUCAAGGAGGGGACCUUCGACAUCCGGGCGAAUUACUUGGUUUGGAAGAAGGAUGAAAGGAAGGCGAGACGUGGGAAACCUUGCUGCUCUUUCGCUCCUAGCUGGGGUCACCAUCCGUUAAAGUGAAUAUAAAAAUCUCAAGAUAACUAUUUGCAUUUGCCUCCUCGCGGUGGGUGGCAUCGUCACUGGCCCGGAGGUUUUUCCAAAUAGUAAAUCUCAAGGGUCACGUUAAGUAACCUCCUCUGCCAGGUAGGUAGUGUAUGACUCCAGUGGUCAUGACACCUCCCUGGAAUUUUUCACCUCGCUCACCUUUUCCAGGGACCACCCUUCAUCAACCCCACUGACAAAGAAAUUACAGACAGGUAUCCUUUCUUUUCUGUCUGCCAUUAACAAUAUUGCAUGUCUAAUCAAACAUUUAUAUUAAAUCAUUCAAUAACUGUAUUUUUACAUACCUGAUCAACCUGUAACCUGUGUGUUUGCUUGUUUACGUCUCUGUCUCCUACCCUGUUCCCUUUAACUCUGCUCCUGUUCUCCAGGACCUAGGGGUUCUGCCCAAAACCCAGAUGUGGAUCCACCUGAUGUCCUCCACUACCUGUUCUCCAGGACCUAAGGGUUCUGCCCAAAACCCAGAUGUGGAUCCACCUGAUGUCCUCCACUACCUGUUCUCCAGGACCUAGGGGUUCUGCCCAAAACCCAGAUGUGGAUCCACCUGAUGUCCUCCAUUACCAACCACCCUUCAACUUUUCAUUACAUCAUCUACAGCUGCUGUUAUUAUCACGUCAUUAUCUGCUAAGAUAUUAAAUAUCAUUCAUCUCAAUGGUUAGCCUAUGCAAAUGAAUAGGAAAACAUUAAAAGCUCAUUAAUAGGACUACAUUUAGCCUAAUUGGGAACAAAUAUAACAUGGGGAAAAUAGAUCUGGACAUUCUCAUAGCUCUAAUCUGGAUAGAUCUGGACCUUCUCAUAGCUCUAAGAUAAAUAGAUCUGGGCCUUCUCAUAGCUCUAAGAUAAAUAGAUCUGGACCUUCUCAUAGCUCUAAGAUAAAUAGAUCUGGACCUUCUCAUAGCUCUAAACUAGAUAGAUCUGGACCUUCUCAUAGCUCUAAGUUAUAUAGAUCUGGACUUUUUCAUAGCUCUAAACUAGAUAGAUCUGGACCUUCUCAUAGCUCUAAGCUAGAUAGAUCUGGGCCUUCUCAUAGCUCUAAGAUAAAUAGAUCUGGACCUUCUCAUAGCUCUAAGAUAAAUAGAUCUGGACCUUCUCAUAGCUCUAAACUAGAUAGAUCUGGACCUUCUCAUAGCUCUAAGUUAUAUAGAUCUGGACUUUUUCAUAGCUCUAAACUAGAUAGAUCUGGACCUUCUCAUAGCUCUAAGAUAAAUAGAACUGGGCCUUCUCAUAGCUCUAAGAUAAAUAGAUAUAUCUGGACCUUCUCAUAGCUCUAAGCUAGAUAGAUCUGGACCUUCUCAUAGCUCUAAACUAGAUAGAUCUGGGCCUUCUCAUAGCUCUAAGCUACAUAGAUCUGGACCUUCUCAUAGCUCUAAGCUAGAUAGAUCUGGACCUUCUCAUAGCUCUAAGCUAGAUAGAUCUGGACCUUCUCAUAGCUCUAAGCUAGAUAGAUCUGGACUUUCUCAUAGCUCUAAGUUAUAUAGAUCUGGACUUUCUCAUAGCUCUAAGAUAAAUAGAUCUGGACCUUCUCAUAGCUCUAAGAUAAAUAGAUAGAUCUGGACCUUCUCAUAGCUCUAAGAUAAAUAGAUCUGGACCUUCUCAUAGCUCUAAGAUAAAUAGAUAGAUCUGGACCUUCUCAUAGCUCUAAGCUAGAUAGAUCUGGACCUUCUCAUAGCUCUAAGAUAAAUAGAUAGAUCUGGACCUUCUCAUAGCUCAGCAAAGAAAUUAUUUUGAUGAAAUACUCAUCAAUAUCAUGCCCAUAUGUAAAUGAGGGACUUUUCAUUUUGCUGGUUAUUUUGGCCGUUAUUCUGACCGUUAUUUUCCUUUGUUUUGUGUUUAGUUAGUAUGGUCAGGGCGUGAGUUCCAUGUUACCACUGCCUCCCUAUUGGUCUAAACUUGACUCUGUCAUAAAGAAGUUAAUUUGGGGGAGAAAAGAGACCACAGAUUAAAUAUGCAACACUACAGAGAACAAAAGCAUCAGGUAGACUUGCAGUUCCAAAUCUAAAAUGUUAUCACCUAUCAUUCCUAAAGAAUUUCCUGAAGACCUGGUUAAACCCAGAGGCUUCUGUUCCUUGGCGCACUAUAGAAGAGUCAAUAGUUUCACCAAUUAGAUUACAAGAUGUAUUAUUUUCUGGCUUGACUCCUAAAAAUUGUGCGUUAUUGUUUGGACCCAUUCUCAAAUCAAAUUUUAUUUGUCACAUACACAUGGUUAGCAGAUGUUAAUGCGAGUGUAGCGAAAUGCUUGUGCUUCUAGUUCCGACAAUGCAGUAAUAAAAAAAACAAAAUACUGCAUAGUUUCCUAGGAACGCAAAGCGAGGCGGCCAUCUCUGUCGGCGCCGGAAGUAGUUAAGAAGUUGUAACCUACUCAGUAAAUGUGUGGAAAGCUACAGAGAAGCAUAUGAGAUCUAAUCUUAAAACGGAAUUCAUACUCUCCAAUAUGGCGUAAUAAAGAAUUCUUAGCAUGUAAGAAACCAUUUAUAUUAGAUUCUUGGUCUAAGAAGGGCAUUUAUACUUUCAAAGACAUAUUCAAUUUGAUUGUACUCCUCAGUUUCCAGGAAAUCCGCCAGUGUUUAAUUGUCUCAGGUUCAUAAUUUUGUCUUUACCUUCAACUCUGCCUAUCCAUGCCAGCCUAUGGGGUCCUCUGGGGAGCAGAACUAGUCUAUCCAUGCCAGCCUAUGGGGUCCCCUGGGGAGCAGAACUAGUCUAUCCAUGCCAGCCUAUGGGGUCCCCUGGGGAGCAGAACUAGUCUAUCCAUGCCAGCCUAUGGGGUCCUCUGGGAAGCAGAACUAGUCUAUCCAUGCCAGCCUAUGGGGUCCUCUGGAGAGCAGAACUAGUCUAUCCAUGCUAGCCUAUGGGGUCCUCUGGGGAGCAGAACUAGUCUAUCCAUGCUAGCCUAUGGGGUCCUCUGGGGAGCAGAACUAGUCUAUCCAUGCCAGCCUAUGGGGUCCUCUGGGGAGCAGAACUAGUCUAUCCAUGCCAGCCUAUGGGGUCCUCUGGGGAGCAGAACUAGUCUAUCCAUGCUAGCCUAUGGGGUCCUCUGGGGAGCAGAACUAGUCUAUCCAUGCCAGCCUAUGGGGUCCCCUGGGGAGCAGAACUAGUCUAUCCAUGCCAGCCUAUGGGGUCCUCUGGGGAGCAGAACUAGUCUAUCCAUGCCAGCCUAUGGGGUCCCCUGGGGAGCAGAACUAGCAGUACACCCAUUGGUCAAACUUCUAAAGGACAGACGCCCCUCAAAAGGAGUUGUUUCUGAUAUCUAUAGUCAAUUAAUUCUAGCUGCACAAAAACCAUUAACUCUAUCCACUGUAUGGGAAAAGGACUUUACACUUGCUGACAGACAAACACAUUGGGAGACAGUAUGGAAAAAUAUACUUGGAUCAUCUAGAAACCCCAAUGACCAAUUUAUUAAUUAAAUUGGAUCUAUUACCUCAAAAAAGACAUCACAUAGGUAUUAGUCCAUCGCCAUUAUGUGUGUUCUGAACCACAGGGGACCUUGGUACUUUUCAACAUGUGCUGUGGAAAUACCCAGGGGUGGUUGAAUUCUGGGGGAAAGUCAACAAUGUCAUCUCUGUACUUAAAGAUAAAAUACUGUGUCACGAUCGUUGUAGUGAGGAGACCAAAGCGCAGCGUGAUGUGAAUACAUACUUUUAAUGAACGACGAAUCUACACGAAGAACACUAAACAAACGAACAAAAUAACAAAAUGACCACUAUACACAAUGAGUGCAGACAUGCAACUUCACAUAGACAAUAACACACAAAACCAAAAUGGAAAAUGGCAACCUAAAUAGGAUCCCCAAUCAGAGACAACGAUAAACAGCUGUCUCUAAUUGGGAACCAAUUUAGGCCACCAUAGACCUACAUUACCUAGACAAUAACAAAUCCCCAUAGAUAUACAAAAAACCCUAGACAAGUCCAAACACCCAUUCCACCCUCGUCACACCCUGACCUGACCAAAUAAAUAAAACAAAGAUAACUAAGGUCAGGGCGUGACAUACUGCCAUUAAAUACAACAGUGAUGUUGCUUUGUGAUGACUCUGACUGGCACUUGUCAGAACGCCAACGUAGAAUGUGGUUGGCAGGAACCACAGCUGCUAAGAAAAUGAUUGUACAAAGGUGGAUUCCACUUCGUCAGUUACCAUUGCAACGAUGGCUGCUCACAUUUAACAGUGUGUUUGUCCUCAACAAUUGAAAGCCAUAUUUUUACAUUACAGUGAAGACUGAGUAAAGGAGAAACGACAUCACCAAUACAUCAAGUUAGGACUUAGUGAAUGAAGAUGGUCUAACUUGGGUUAAAACAGGUUAUGUAGCCCUAGACAUCAGUGUUGGGGAUGUAACUAACCUAUAUUAACUAACCUGUAUGUCACGCUCUGACCGUAGAGAGCCUUUUAACGUCUCUAUUUGGUUUGGUCAGGGCGUGAUUUGGGGUGGGCAUUCUAUGUUUUGUUUUUCUAUGAUUUUCUAUUUCUAUGUUUUGGCCGGGUAUGGUUCUCAAUCAGGGACAGCUGUCUAUCGUUGUCUCUGAUUGGGAACCAUACUUAGGUAGCCAUUUUUCCCUCCUUUCUUUGUGGGAAGUUGACUUUGUUUAUGGCACAUAGCCUUUAGCUUCACGGUUUGUUUUGUAGUGUUUAUUGUUUUGUUCGGUGUCUACUCUAAUAAAAAGAGUAUGUACGCUCACCACGCUGCACCAUGGUCCUCUUCAUUCAACAGUUAAAUGAACAGCCUUCAUUUAAAUAAUCUAUAUUUUGCAGUAGGUUAGUGGUAGUUGAGCUAAAAUCAAAACUUAGUGGUGUUUUAGUAGUUCAUUAUUUUUUUGCCAUAUAGCUAGCUACUGGAACUACACACACUACUGUUUUACCGUGUAGCGGUGUAGCUAACUACUGGGAAUACACACUACUGUUUUACCAUUGUUAGGAUUUAUGUUUAUGUACUAUAGCCCGCUACCAUAUUGUUUGAAGAUUAAUAUUGUUUUGUUACACACACACAUAAACAAUGCAGAUGUGUGUGUGUGUAUGUGUGUAAAGAUUGAGCAACAUAGAGUGCCUUGAUGCAAAAGCUGUGGUCAAUCUGGAGAGGGGAGGGGUGCAUAUCUCCAGGCCAACCAGGGAGGGUAGGACACUGGACAAUACCAAAUAAGGAACUGUUUGAGUGUAGAAUCUGGGGAGACACAAGACGGAUCUAAUCUACGCAACGACCAGAUGUGAACAGAUGAGAGCACCAAGGGACUGGGACCAGUCCGAGUGCCAGCGAUAGGCUGAGCAAAGUUUAAACCGCGCUCAGGCUCUACUGUGAUAGGCCAACGGACGGUUGGAACUAAAGCUGUCAUAGUAUAAAACUGUUGUUUGAGCACAUUCCAGAGUUCUCUGUUCUACCCUGCGUGGAGAUACAGUGAAACCGUUUAUACAAAAAUUGCAUUUACCAUUUAUCGCUUGAGUUUAAUUAAAAUACUUAAAGUAUA